UACGUAGGGCGCAAGCGUUAUCCGGAAUUAUUGGGCGUAAAGAGCUCGUAGGCGGUUCGUCGCGUCGGCUGUGAAAACCCGGAGCUCAACUCCGGGCCUGCAGUCGAUACGGGCGGACUCGAGUUCGGCAGGGGAGACUGGAAUUCCUGGUGUAGCGGUGAAAUGCGCAGAUAAUCAGGAGGAACACCGGUGGCGAAGGCGGGGAUCUC
rnacentral:rRNA from 1 species